AUUGAACGCUGGCGGCAGGCCUAACCCAUGCAAGUCGAACGAGUGGCGGACGGGUGAGUAAUGUCUGGGAAACUGCCUGAUGGAGGGGGAUAACUACUGGAAACGGUAGCUAAUACCGCAUACCAUCAGAUGCGCCCAGAUGGGAUGAGCUUGUUGGGGGGGUAAAGGCUCACCAAGGCGAGUAUCCCUAGCUGGUCUGAGAGGAUGACCGUCCACACUGGAACUGAGACACGGUCCAGACUCGUACGGGAGGCAGAAGGGGGGAAUAUUGCACAAUGGGCGCAAGCCUGAUGCAGCCAUGCCGCGUGUAUGAAGAAGGCCUGCGGGUUGUAAAGUACGUUCAGCGGGGAGGCGUUACCCGCAGAAGAAGCACCGGCUAACUCCGUGCCAGCAGCCGCGGUAAUUC
rnacentral:rRNA from 1 species